AAACUUGUAAUAAUCCUGUUUCCCAAGUUUAUCAGGAAGAGAGCCUAUGAGAGAGGCAACAUUCAGCCCUAUUGGAACUCUCAGUCCCAGAGGGGUGUUUUGCAGCUUUCCUGUCUGCCAUAGGACUUCAGCUGUGACACCAGAGGAAAGUUCCUUGCGACGUUCACAGUUCCCUGGCCAGCGUGAGCCAUGACAGGGAGUUCUACAUGCAUAUACCACUUCCUUGUUAUGAGCUGGUAUAUUUUCCUCAAUUAUGACAUCCCUGUACUAGGAGAGGAUCCGCAGAACUCUGAAAUCUUUCUUAAUGGCGGACCAUGGAAGUACUUGACAUUUAUUAAUAUGCUCCUGCAGGUCAUUUUCUAUGGGGUCGCUUGCCUGGAAGAUGUGCUGAAGAGAAUUGAAA